AUGAAGUCCCGCUCUGUCGCCCAGGCUGGAGUGCAAUGGCAAGAUCAAUCUCAGCUCAGUGCAACCUUCACCUCCCGGGUUCAAGCAAUCCUCCUGCCUCAGACUCCCAAGUUGCUGGGAUUACAGGUCUGCUUAACAUAAGGUUUGCAGCCAAGCGCGGCCACUCAUGCCUGUAAUCCCAGCACUUUGGGAGGCCGAGGCGGGCGGAUCAUGAGAUCAGGAGAUUGAGACCAUCCCGGCUAACACAGUGAAACCCCGUCUCUACUGAAAAUAGAAAAAAUUAACUGGGUGCGGUGGCGGGUGCCUGUAGUCCCAGUUACUUGGGAGGCUGAGGCAGGAGAAUGGCGUGAACCUGGGAGGUGGAGCUUGCAGUGAGCCAGGAUCGCGCCACUGCACUCCAGCCUGGGUGACAGAGCGAGACUCCAUCUCAAAAAAUAAUAAUAAUAAAAUAAAAUAAGGUUUGCAUAUUGGUUAUAAGCAUUUUCUCACAUCAGUCUAAUACCUUGUGGCUACUGAUUUCCUGCACUGGGAGUCAGCAGACCUCAUGGCGAUGCAAAACGUCUGCCAAUGUAUAUUAAAAGGAAACCAAGUAAGAACAGACUUUGCCGCCAUUUGGGCAACUCCUCACGUAGAUGCUUGGCAAGUAACAGUCAGAGACAGUGUGCUAUUGUUCAAAUGCACAGACUGGAUUCUGAUGAGCUGGAUUCUGAUGAAUCUCAGUUGUGCUACUAACUAACUGGAAUUAUGCAAGUCUCUAAACUUGUGUUCCCACUUCUAAACAUUGUGGGCAAUAAUAAUAUCACCUCCCACAUUGGGCUGUUGUGAAGGCUUAAAUUAGUAAGAUAAUGAAUAUGAUAAGUUUAACAUAGUACCUGGCACAUUGUAAAUUAAUGAAUAAGCAUCACCUAUUAUUACCAGCAUAAAAACUUACCAAUUAAAAAAAAGGGGGAGGGAAGACGGAUUUGAGUAAUAAUAAAAUGCUCAGAAAUAGCUCCAGUGGGACAUUGCCUUAUCCAAGCCAGCUUCAGCACCUUCCCUAAGUCCUUUCCCCAUUUCCAGCUGCAAAGAAGACUUCAGAGUCAGAAGUUUCCACUAGCUCUGAACAAGGGUUGGCAGCAGUCUCAGGGCCUCCAUCCAUCCAGCCCUCAUUGGCUCCCACCCACAUUGUGCCAAGCAGAGUAUCCACAGGAUAUGGAGUCAUCUUCCGUGGUCCCAGCUGGAUUUGAUUGCGCUGUGAUGACUUGGCUGUUGCAGAGGCUAGAUUGAAAGCAUGUCUCAACUUCACCUCUUGAAUGCAAUGCUGUUUAUAUUUGCCUAAUAUUUUUCUCCCCCUUGGGUUAUUUGAAGAUCAUGCCAAACUUUUGUUUCUUUUAACUGGAUAGAGUAUUCUAUAAAGAUAUUUUAAAGCA